rnacentral:rRNA from 1 species
GACGAACCGUGCGAACGUUAUUCGGAAUCACUGGGCUUAAAGCGCGUGUAGGCGGCCCGGCACGUCCGUCGCUGAAAUCCCCCGGCUCACCCGGGGAAGGGGCGCGGAUACGACCGGGCUGGAGGGGGGUAGGGGGAGCCGGAACUUCCGGUGGAGCGGUGAAAUGCGUUGAGAUCGGAAGGAACGCCCGUGGCGAAAGCGGGCUCCUGGACCCCACCUGACGCUGAGACGCGAAAGCCAGGGGAGCGAACGGG